AUACGGAGGGAGCAAGCGUUAUUCGGAAUCACUGGGCGUAAAGGACGCGUAGGCGGGUUUGUAAGUCAGGUGUGAAAUCCUACAGCUCAACUGUAGAACUGCACUUGAAACUACAGACCUAGAGUAUGGAAGGGGCAGAUGGAAUUAGUGGUGUAGGGGUAAAAUCCUUAGAUAUCACUAGGAAUACCGAAAGCGAAGGCGAUCUGCUGGGACAUUACUGACGCUGAGGCGUGAAAGCGUGGGGAGCAAACAGGAUUAGAAACCCUAGUAGUCC
rnacentral:rRNA from 1 species